UGCCGGGAUAGUCUAGUCCGGUAAGGCGCAGGAUUCGAAAUCCUGUUGAGCGAUGCUCGUCCUGGGUUCAAAUCCCAGUCCCGGCGU
rnacentral:tRNA from 1 species